rnacentral:lncRNA from 1 species
CGGGAUCGCGGCAAGGGGAUCGCUUAGCUAGCUAGCGAUGAGCGGUUCCUUGCCUAGGUGGUUUACUCAUUCUUUUUGUAGUUGAGAGAGUGAGAGAUUUUGUAUCCAUGUAUAGAGACCACCUGUGUAUCUACUUUUAGCACUUGUAUUUGGGAUUUCCUUUGUAUCACUUUAUGUUUUAUUUAGUGGAUUUACAGUUUUAUCCUUAUCCUUUGUUGUAGCAUUUAGACAUUUAUUAUGCUCUGAUACUCCUAGAUGUCUUCUAUUAUUGCUUUUAUUAUCGUUAUUUGUAGACGCCUUAUAUGUUUUAGACGUAUGGCGGGUCUGGGCACGCACCGGGCGGGCUUCCGCUGGGUCUCGGGGCGUGACAGUAGGCCUACCACCAACCCGUCUCGAUACUACGCAGCGUCUCUCAUUCAUAACGCAUACCCAACCAUUACUUAGUGAAAGUCCUCAUUUGAGGCUUCGCACACACUCCCACCAGGAGACCUCAACCACUCCAUAUCCUUGGGUCAUAAUCACGCUUACGACUCAUUAUAACAAGCCAUGUUCACCUUUAUCGGCUCUUAAACAUCUAAGCCCUCUCAAUUUCUAUAUUUAUAAACAGCCCUUACUGGGCAAUUCCCGCAGUCGGGGACCGGUCUCUCCCCGCAGGGACCUGUCUCUCUCUCCAAUGCAACCGGUCUCUCGCCAAAGGACCGGUCUCACGGGGACCGGUCUCUCCUUCAGGAACCGGUUCCCGAGAGCUCAAUUUCCAAGACUUAGCCGAUUUUUCUCCUCUGUUCGGCUGCUGCGCGCACGGGGACCGGUCUCUCCCCGCAGGGACCGGUCCCCGAGAGCUCAAAUUCUGGAACUUCACCAGAAUUGCAGUUUCGCUCUCUCGGGUCCCCAUACACCAUAAGUAUAGGCUCCAAUGCACUCUUAGCCUACACCAACUCAUUCCAUUCCGCGUUCCGCUCGUUUCGACGGAACUCGGCACGACAUACAGGAAUGUGAUACGCUACAUUUGCACCUUGUACUUGAUCUCUUAUGCUUACGAUACACCAGCAUGAAUUUUCCUCAGCAUUGUUGAGGUACCACUCGGCCACUCGCCAAAACUCGGCGAUUGCUCAACUAGCUCCACCACAACGGGGACGUUACAACCACCACUCGAGCCCUGGGAACAUCACCCGAACUCUUGAACCACAGGGUCAUCCUCAAGCAUCCCAACUUAACUCUCACAAUUUCGCUACUCAUAUUGCCUAGAGCGUUAGUCCAUCAACUCCACCUCUAUCCCGAGCUUAACUCUCGGCUCGCAACCAGUCACCUGCCGGUCUAGUCCAAUCACAGCUACCCACUUAGUAGGUAAUAUCACUGUUACGCAUGCAUACCAGGGGAUUAAUUUUAUUCACAUCUCGGUCUCAAUUAUACUUAUGCAUGCAACAUUUCGAAUCCGCCUUAAAUCAGAUCAUACAAUCUCUUCCAACGCACCACUCCUGCUACAACACCCUCAGUAGCAGUGGAUUCCACAACUAGGGUCGCUUGCUCAUAGCCACUUGACGCUCAUCGCGAACCCUCCGAUCGCACCAUCGACCAUACUUGCUCUCUAGACCAUGCCGCAGGCGACACACUCUCCGACGGUCUCAAAAGAUAGAGAUCGUCGCCCGCGCUAAGGUCCGGCUAUCCACUAGCAACACUCAAUCCACAUUCGGGUUGGUUGCUAACAUCAAACACACCAUCUACCUCACAACGCACACCCCUGCGUCUCGUAGGUACCAUCACCGCCAACGCCUCUCAACAAGGUCAACAAUAGGCCUCGGGGAUCAUAUCCACAACCUUCUCGGGGUCGCCGAAAAUUUGAUCGACCACCCGACCCACUCAUUUAUCGGGUCACUUCUCACUUCGCAUCCAACCGGCACGAAUCCUCCAAAGAGAACUUCCACGGAGUCAUUCCAUACAUGUCCGUCCCACGGAUAUUACUCCAUCAAAAUAAGUGGAUCAACUUCCUUAGGAAACCAUCCACAAUUCUCAUGAGCCUUCAAUCCCUCUAUUCCUUGUGCAUUGCAGCCUCCUGCUGACAUUGCACCACAUUGGCUCCAAGUCUCCAAUAUGCCCGGCUAACUCUUGCACAUCACUAGUCCCGGUCCAUAUCGAUCUCCUUAAAGAUCGGCCACGCGUAACCACUGAACGCACAACAACUCAACCCUCAAGGUCAAGCGCGCGACACCUACACGCAACGCUAUCCACCACUCAAUCCAGGCGAAAGUCACGCAAGGGAGCCUUUUUUCAUCACUCGGUUUCAUGUUGUGUGCACCCAACAUGAACACUCCAUAAUGAAAAUACACUACACCUUGGAUCCACCUCUAACAUCCGUUAUAGAGGCAUACCAAACACGACCCAAUUAGUUAACCUUUCGCCACAAUUUCAAAUUCUCGUUACACUUCAAGAACCUAAAGCCUUAUGGUUUCCAACCUAUGGUCCCUAAGUCCAUCCUAAACUUUUGCUUUCACUUGCUCUGAUACCACUAUAUCUUAUAAGAUAUGGAUCCCGAGGAUCUAAAAGGUAAAAGACACCUAGAGGGGGGUGAAUAGGUGUAAACAGUAAAAAUCAAGAAACUCGAUGCAAAUUUAAAAUAGAAUGCGGAAAAUAAAAAUCAGCACACCGAGAAUUAAUGUGGGAAAACUCCAAACCAGAGAGAAAAACCCACGGGAUCGAUCACACAAAGAAAUCCACUAAGAAAACAUGAGUACAAGUGAUUUAUCAAAAAUACAAGACUCAAAAUACCGAAUCCUCGUUGUAGAUUAUCUUUGCCAAUCCUCGAUCGCUUGAAAUCCUCCAACCGAUCGCACUGCAAGUCCUUGCAGCCGCACACGCCUCGACUCCACGAAACGCUCACCGAAUCCACGGUCUUCACGCGAGAUCCACGCGCUAAUGCUCCAUUCGAAGCUCGUAGGGAUUUAACAAUUUACGGUGAUUUAAACUCUUUGAAAGCACAUAUAAUAUGAGGAGAAAUCCAAAUCAAAACAUCACCAAUUUGAUCCUUAAAGAAAAUUUGAAUCAAAAACGAAGAAUCAAAUCGGUGAUCUAAAGCUUGAUAUUUAGAAACAUGGAUCAAAACUCCGAAUCAAGUCGUUAGGGUUUCUAAAAAGGUUAUCUUGCUCAGCUAACGUCAUAUGGAGAUCCUCAUAUCAUAUUUAUAUGUUUAGAAGACUUCUAGAUAGACUAGGAUUCCAAAAACUCAAUUUUAAAAACAGACGACGGUCUCAGGGUCCGGUCCUCCCGAGGAGACCGGUCCUUGGGAGACCGGUCCUCCAAGGUGAGGUCCGGUCUUUCUCUGCGUAGACGUAAACAUUUGCGUACGGGGACCGGUCCUCAAUUCAGAGACCGGUCCUUCCCUGCGCAACAAGGAAAACCACGUACGGGAACCGGUCCUCAAGAUCAGAGACCGGUCUCCCAAACCUUCUACGCAGAGAAGCUUGAUGGGUCCGGUCCUUCUGAUCAAGGACCGGUCCCCGACCCCUGAGUUUUUCAGAAAACUUAAGUUUGAAUAAAUCAAAAGAACACCAAGUCUUCUAAACAUCUUUAAACAAUAAAAACUUCACCACAAAUUAUUCAUAAUCAUACCUGAGAUCUCAAGGGUCUUUGAUCACGAAAACUUCAAUUCUUUUCUUCAACCUUCAUCUUCUAAUUCUUCGAGACUCCGUCCAAACCUUCACGAAAUUCGCCAACUUAUAAAAUCCUUAACAAUCUCCCCCUUUGGCGAUUUCGUGACAAAAUAAAAAAAAUUUUACAAUGCUUAUUCAAAAACUAAAAUAAGAAGGUUAUUGCAAUCACCAUACAACAACCUUCUGCAUGAUCGAUCGAAAAAAAAACAAAAUUACAUUUUUCACAUCCUAAUACAAACUCUAUGACUUAGGACACGACAUAGAGUCUCGAAGUCUUGAAAUACCCUGCAAAACAAUCUCCCCACACUUCAUCAAAAUUUGCAACGAAUUCAGUUACAAGUCAAGAGUUCAAGCAUAGUUACAUCCUAAGCAUAGUUACAUCCUAAGCAAAGAUCAAGCAUAGUUCAUUUAGCACAUAAGGCACAAAGUAAAGCACGCACAAAGUAAAGCACAUAAAGCAAAAUUACUCAGCAUCAUUAUCAUCAUUCUCCCCCUUUUUGUCAAGAAAACGCCAAAACGACCAAAAGGAGGGAACGACAUCAUCAUCAGUCGGAAUCAGCACCAGGCGCAGGAAGAUCCGCGCUACAACACCCUAGUUUGUCAAAGAUAGCUCUCAUCAGACGACGAAGCUUGCUCACUUGCCGAGUAAGGCGCUCCUGCUCCGCAACCAUGCGAGCCUGAUCCUCAGAAAUCCGUCGAAGUUCGCCCGAAAUCCGUUCUUGCUCUAGAGAUAACCUUUGUUGUUCCCGAUAAACAGAAGAGACGGACAUUUCUUCCUCAGACACCUCUGCCGAAGGACGAGAAGGACCAGGAGGUGGAGUGGAACGCUGUUGAGACGAACGUCGUGGAGGAGAGCGCUGUGACUGAAGCUGCACCGAAGACUUGAUGAAAGUAGUUUCACUAAUCACACCCAAACUAUGUUCAUAAGAUGAACAUCUCGUGUCAACAUCAAACAUCCUCAGAAUUCGCAUUAUGAUUAACGGAUAAGGCAACCUCUCUAACUGACUAGAAGUCUUGAUGUCUUUAGCCAUACGGCGCCAAACCAAAAAUGGAACAUUAAGAUUGAUCUUCCUAUCACGAACCACAGUCGGCUGACCCACCAAAUAUAUAUAAAGCAUGCGAUCCCAACGCACCACCUUCGUGUUAGCCAACGGCAUUAUAUUGUAGCAAACCACAAAAUUCAGAAAACGAUAUUCUAUCUUUAAUUCCUUUGACAUCACACAAAUGCCAUUUGGUUCAACGUUGGGCAAACAUACUCCAUUCAUAACCAGACGCCAAUCUCGAACCGCAUCAAAACCAGCAUGCAAAUAUCCAAUUCCAUCAGUCCGAGCCUGCAUACCAAGAACAGAAGCAAUAGUUUCAGGCGUAAUUGUCAACUCGAUGCCACGCACAGAGGUCUUAAAGAUGAACGGUCCACCAUCGGAAUCCUCCAGAUAUCCCGCUCUCAUAUAGAAUUCCCGAAUUAAUUCCAAACAAUAGCCAGUUUGUUCAGAAAAGUCGCUAAUUUCGAAGAGACCCCCGUUCUCAAAUAAGGCUUGAAGACCAGGAACUCGGUCAAUUAAGUUCUGAACUCCAACGUGGCGCUCACCAAUACAAUUCUUAGAAGAGUACAUAGAGCGUCUCUUCGGAUCAACGUGGCCUUCCUGAGUACUGCGACGAGGUAAAUCAGCGGUAGAUUCACGAAUUUCAAUACCUCCGGUCUUCUUCUUACUACGAGAGUAUGUCAAUUUUUCCGUCCCUUUCCCUUUGACUUUGCUCUGUCCUUUUUCCUUUUCUGUAACUACCUUUUCCAUCCCUUUCUUCUUCGUCGACAACACUUCUGGAGAGAGUGCUUCCCAAUCCGUCGACUCAAUUUCCGAUUCUUCAUCAGGAGCAUAUUCACUGCCGACAUCCUCAACUGGUGGCUCGACAGGUUGCUGAGUCGAAGUUCGCUGGCGCUUACCACCACGACCACCACCAGCCAUGAGGAACACAAGUGCAAGCAAAAAGGAAUACAUUUUUGUUUUCGAAAAAGAUCCCUGUUUCAACAAGUGAAAAUAAAACACAGAUAUCAUUCAGAUUUUCUUUUUAAAAAAAACUGAUGAAAUCUAGGGCCACAUGGAAAAGGCAAAAUGAUGCAUCAAUAGAAUGAAGAAAUGCAUGAGGAGAUCGAGAAUCACAAGCAUAUUACUGAGACCAAUGAUUAGAAACAAGAUACCUAACAAAAUCACAGAUCAACCCCAACCAAAACACAUUCUAGAAAUGCAUAUGCAAAAAAUAAAGUCCAAAAAGAAAACGUACCAAUCAAAUGAAAGAAAAUCGGGAAGAAACAGAGCAAACACUCUCUGGAACCCUAAACCGGUCGUGGGAAGAGUUUCAGACAAAAAGGUAAAGUAAGAGAGAGACCGGACCAACAUUCGUAUAUAGGCUCGGGCAGAGGGACCGGUCCUUCAAGACAGGAGACCGGUCCCCGUACCAAAAAAAAAUUCCCCCUUUUUUUUAAAAAAAAAUGACGUUCCAAUGACAUAUAAUAUAAAUUUUAUAAAUAUGGCAAACAAAGUCAAUUUCAAAAAUAUUCAAAGUGUCAAGAUUUGUUGAACAAAUAGACGAAUUAAAUUCUAAUGGGUAUAAUGCUAAAAUCCACACAUCAAUUAAGAUCUAAAAAUUAAUCGUCUCGUAUUGUCUUCAUAAUUAAUAAAUAGAGGAAUAAAAAGAUCCCAUAAUCAUGAAAUUAAGAUAAGAUGAUCAAAUUGAGUUAUGCACAAAAUUCGACGAGGGAGUGGCUCUUUGAGCAUCUUUUCACUAUCCACCUUAUAUCACCUAGAAGAUGUAUUGUAAGUAACUCAUGUUUUAUCAUCUCCAAAGCACCUCUUUUAAAACCCCCUUUUUUUUAUAUCAUAGGACAUCCUCAGAUAAAUUAGGCUUCCUUAGCAACAGAGAUGCCUUAAACAGACAUGCGGUAGCUGCACACAUUUACCGGACGACCGGAGUGGUAGCUCUUUCCUCCAUGUGGUGGUAGUUUUCACACUCCCAUGAGGGAUGUAACUCUUUCCACAUCUUUUGACAUUCUAAUUUAAUUCCAGGAAAGACUCCCCCUAAAUAAGUGCAACCCUCAAGUUGACGAUAUUAUCACAAGUUCAAAAUUAGGGAAAUCUGUAUUCAUAUCAAAGCUCAUAAUCCAACAAGACAAAGAUAAUGUUUAAAGUUCAAAAGAAAUGAGGUGUUGAAUUUAGCAAAUUAUACUAAAAUAGAAUUUGAAUGAAUCUAUCUUUUCAAUAAAAAUAUGACACAGAGAAUAAAAUGACAUUGACCAAGCUAACCACAUUAUAAUAUAAAGAAAAUCAUGUCAUGGAUAUCUCAAAAAUGAUCAAGUAAAAACGACAGAUAUGCAAAAGAGUUUAUGCAAGAUCUAUGGUCCAUAGACUACAUCUAAACAGAUGGAUUCAUACCAAUAGCCUUUCGCAAAUGAAGAAAACGUUUUUGAUCUAAAGGUUUUGUCAAAAUAUCAGCAAGCUGAUUUUCAAUAGAAAUGUAUUCAAGAUGAAGAAGAUUUGAUUCGACCAAUUCCCUUAAAAAAUGAUAUCUGAGUUCAAUGUGUUUUGUACGAGAAUGUAAAACAGGGUUUUUAGAAAUAUUAAUUGCACUUGUGUUAUCACAAAGAAUAGUAAGAGUGGAGGAAGGGAUCCGAUAAUCGCUCAGUAAGCUCUUCAUCCAUAACAACUGAGUAGAGCAACUACCAGCAGAGAUAUACUCAGCCUCGGCAGUGGAUAGUGCAAUACAGUUCUGUUUCUUGCUGUGCCAAGCGACAAGACAAUGUCCAAGGUAGAAACACGCUCCACUUGUACUUUUCCGAUCGUCUGCAGAGCCAGCCCAGUCUGCAUCUGAGUAUCCAAUCAGAUCAAGAGAUGUUCCCAUAGGAUACCAGAGACCAUAUGCGGUUGUACCUUUAACGUAUCAAAUAAUCCUUUUGACCGCUUUUAGAUGAAUUUCCUUAGGAUUAGCUUGAUAGCGAGCACAAAUUCCAACACUGAAUGCAAUAUCUGGUCUACUCGCAGUCAAGUACAAUAGGCUCCCAAUCAUGCUUCUGUAUAGUUUCUCAUCUACGCUCGGUCCUUCCGAAUUCAAUCCGAGUCCUUUGUUACUUGUACCCAUUGGAGUGUCAAAAUCCUUUGCGUUGUCCAAUCCAAAUUUCUUAACCAAAUCUUUCGCAUAUUUGGAUUGACACAAGUGUAUUCCAUCUUUAGUUUGUUUGACUUGAAGUCCAAGAAAAUAGUUAAGCUCCCCCAUCAUCGACAUCUCAAAUUCGCUCGUCAUCAACUUUGCAAACUCAUUAGCAUCCUUAUCUUUAGUAGCUCCAAAGACGAUGUCGUCAGCAUAAAUUUGUGCCACAAUGAAAUUAUCUUUCGAGUGUUUUACAAAAAGAGUUCUAUCUGCUCCUCCUCGGUUGUAGCCCUUUUCCAAAAGAUAUUUUGUCAAACGCUCGUACCAUGCCCGCGGAGCCUGUUAAAGUCCAUAAAGUGCCUUUUUCAGUCGAAAAACGUGAUUUGGAAAUUUCGAGUCUAUGAAACCUUUCGGUUGUUCAACAUAAACUUCCUCUUUUAAAAAGCCGUUUAGAAAAGCACUUUUAAUAUCCAUUUGAAAAAGAGUAAUUUUAAAAUGACAGGCGAUCGCGAACAAAAUACGGAUUGAUUCAAGACGAGCAACCGGGGCGAAGGUUUCCUCAAAAUCUAUUCCCUCAACUUGUGAGUAACCUUGAGCAACCAGUCUUGCUUUGUUUCGAACAAUAGUACCAUCCUCAUUUUUCUUAUUCUUAAAAAUCCAUUUGGUACCAAUUAUGUGUUGUUGCUCAGGACGCGACACCAGUUCCCAAACAUCAUUACGCGUGAAUUGACCAAGUUCUUCUUGCAUAGCAUUAAUCCAGUAUUCAUCGAGAAGAGCUUCAUCAACAUUCUUUGGCUCAACUAAAGACACGUAGCAAGCAAAUUCACACUGAAGCUGUCUCCUAGUUUUCACACCAGUAAGAGGGUCUCUAAUAACAUUUGACAAUGGGUGAUCUUUUACAGGUGUAAGUUCAGAUGAGGUGAUAGGGGUUUCAGAAGAAUCAUGUGAUGCAAUAGCAUCAAUAGGUUCAGCAGUAUUAUCAGGCACAGAAUUUUCAUCAAUCACAGGUAAGUUAAAUGGAGAGUCAUUAUCAUCAUCAUUCAGACAUGCAUUGGAAGAAUCAUUCACAGAAGAUCCUACAGAAGAAGCUUCAUCUACUUUGAUAUUAAUGGAUUCUAUCACCGUCUUAGUACGUAAAUUGUACGCACGAUAAGCACGACUAGAGGUAGAAUAUCCAAGAAAAAUUCCUUCGUCACUUCGGGAGUCAAAUUUUCCAAGAUUUUCACGAUCCCGCAGGAUAAAACAUUUACUCCCGAAGACACGAAAGUAUUUGAUGUUCGGUUUUCUACCCAUCCACAACUCGUACGGAGUGUUUAAAGUGCCCGGGCGUAAAUAAAUGCGAUUAAUCACAUAGACGGCCGUGUUAACUGCUUCAGCCCAGAAGUGUAGUGCAACUUUCUUGCUAUGAAGCAUAACACGUGCCAUCUCUUGAACCACCCGGUUUUUACGUUCAACCACUCCGUUCUGCUGUGGUGUAUAAGGAGCAGAGAAUUCAUGUUUGAUGCCUUUUGAAACACUGAAAUCAACAAAUUUUGAAUUAAUGAAUUCUCCCCCUUGAUCACUUCGAAUGCGCGCAAUUUUGUCAUCCCUUUCAUUCAUAAGACGAAGACAGAUUUCAGAAAAAGAAUCAAACGUAUCAGCUUUUUCACGUAAGAAGGCACUCCACACAAAACGAGUAAAAUCAUCAACAAUAAGCAAAAUAUAUCGUUUUCCACCCAAACUUUGAAUUCUAGAGGGUCCCAUCAAGUCCAUGUGGAGUAGCUCUAAUGGUUUGGAUGUCCCUAAGUGGUUCAACUUCUUAUGUGUGGACCUAGUUUGCUUUCCCAAUUGACAACCCCCACAAACAGUGUUUUCCUUGAAGUCUAUCUUAGGUACACCUCUAACUGCCUCCUUCUUGGUUAUCUUAGAUAGUUCCUUAAAGUUUAUGUAACCUAGACGUUCAUGCCAUAAAGUUUCAGUUUCUAAUGUCGCUAGGUUACAAUGUUCAGUCAAAGAACUAGGAACUACAUAACAAUUAUUCUCAGAUCUAACACCCUUUAAGAAAAGAUUGUCAUUACGAGUCACAUGGCAUUCUCUAUCGGAAAAAUUCACAGAAUACCCAUCAUCACACAAUUGGCUUAUGCUUACGAGAUUUGAUUUGAGCCCCUCAGCAUAAAAGACAUCAUUUAAUGCAGGGCCAUCAGAGAUAGUGACAGUUCCUUUUCCAACAAUUUUUGAUGACCGACCAUCUCCAAAAAUAACCAGUCCACCGGAAAUUUUGUUUAAAGAAGUAAACCAAUUUUUAUUACCGGUCAUAUGACGUGAACAGCCACUAUCCAGAUACCAAGAAGUAUUGUCGUAAGCAUGAAGCGAAGUGUGAAUGACAAGGCAAGGAAAGAGUUCACCUUUGCGCACCCAAACCUUACGUGUUUUGGGUUGCGUUGUCCGACUUGAUUGAGAUACGCUUUGCUUGUCGACGAUUUGUGUAGUUCUUUUCUUCGGAUCAUUCUUCUUAGGCAUCCACGUCUGUCUUGCCUUUGUCUUUGGUUCUUCCUUCUUCAGUUGUUCCUUUGGUCUCCUAUCAUGUGUGUUGUAGCAUUUUUCGGCCUUUGCUAGCAAAAUCUCUUCACAUGACCUACAACACCACAAAGAUGACAAGUUUUGUUAGCAAUCAAAUUCUUGGGAGGAACAAACUUACCAUAUACCUUCGAAACCGGUUUUGUCGAAUGUUCGUCUACUUUCUUCAUCACUUGAUCGACAUAUGUCCGUUCGUAUCCAAGUCCGAAUUUGUUGGUUUGACCGAGUCCUAACAUUUUGUCAAGUUUGCUUGACCCGGACGAGAACUUGUUUAAGUCCGAUUUGAGUUGUAUGAUAGUCUUGGUAAAUUCCAUGUUGGAUUCUCUUGCUUCCGUGUAUUUCUUGUUAAGAAAAUUAAUGUUUUCAACCAAAGUUUCCUUUUCCUUCUCAAGCAGUACACACUUGUCGAAUAAAGUAUUAUAUGACUCGGUCAAAGUGUCCUUUUCUUGCUCCAAACUUUUUGUCAAUGACUCUAAUCUUGUAUUGUCUUGGUCUAGAUCAUACAAUCUUCGUCUCAACUUCUUGUUGUGUUUCGCCACUUUCUUUGAUUCAAUAACAAGUUGAUGAUAUGUGGCGGCCAUAUCUUCUUCUUCCGAUUAUUCAUCCAUCGAGUUCUCCGUAGAAGAUUUUUCAUGCAAAGAAGACAUAGAGAUUGAGUCAGUCGAUGCUAAACACAUAAAAGGAGAAUCCUGUGCAAUAAGUGCAGUGGCAUUAACGUCAUCAUCACUUGAGGACGAUUCGUCGGAGGAGGACUCAUCCCAAGUAAUGGCUUGCAUCGCUUUCUUUUUCAAAGACUUUUUGUUAGGACAAUCUGAUGCAAUAUGACCAAAUCCCCUACACUUAUAGCAUUGGAUUUGACCUUCGCUACUUUUCUUUUCUUUUGUAAAUUCUUUUUGAAAAUUUUCUGAUUUUUUAAACUUUGAAGAAGAGGAAGAAGACUCUCUUUUGAUUUGUUUGGCUUGGAGGAAGUUGUCUUCGAAGUAAACUUCUUUCUAAAAUUCCGACGGAAUUUCUUAGUCAAGAGUGCCAUUUGUUUCUCAAACUCUUCCAAGGUUACGUCAGAGUCCGAGUCCGAGUCCGAUGAAGAAGAUUCCACAUUGCCUCCUUUCGUUGAUUUUAACGCCAUACCUGAAGCUUUAGAAGACAAUUUGGAAGAAGAUGAAUUAGCAGGAAAAGUCAUUUCAUAAGUUUGAAGUGCACCAACUAAUUCAUCUACUUUGAGUUCAUCCGGAUGUUUUACCGUUUCUAUGGCCGCAACCUUGGGACGAAAACGUUCGGGAAGGGUUCUCAAAAUCUUUCGAACAAUCUUUGGUUCAGAAACUUUUUCACCCAAAUUUGCACAAGUAUUAACAAUAUCUUGAAGACGAGUAUAAUACUCAGUAAAGGUUUCAUUUUCUUCCAUACGAAUAGAAUCAAAACGACUAGUCAACAUUUGUAGUUUUUGAACCUUUACCAAGCUUGUACCCUCAUGAGUGAUUUGUAAAGUAUCCCAAAUUUCUUUGGCGGUUUCACACGCCGAUACUCGAGAAAAUUCAGUUUGAUUCAAAGCAUUGAACAAAGCAUUGAUACCCUUCCCAUUGAACGAAGAUAGUUCGUUUUCCUCUUUUGUCCACUUAUUUCUAGGUUUAGGACCGGUAACAUUCUCGACUACUUCAGUAGGAUGUUUCCACCCGAAUUCAACGGCUUGCCAAACCCGCUCGUCAAUGGCAAUAAGGAACGCCCUCAUACGGACUUUCCAAUAAGCAUAGUUAGUGCCAUCGAAGAGAGGGGGUCGAUUAACGUUACCACCCUCGGCCAUAAUUUACAACCUAUACCCGCUCUGAUACCACCUAUAAGAUAUGGAUCCCGAGGAUCUAAAAGGUAAAAGACACCUAGAGGGGGGUGAAUAGGUGUAAACAGUAAAAAUCAAGAAACUCGAUGCAAAUUUAAAAUAGAAUGUAGAAAAUAAAAAUAAGCACACCGAGAAUUAACGUGGGAAAACUCCAAACCGGAGAGAAAAACCCACGGGACCGAUCACACAAAGAAAUCCACUAAGAAAACAUGAGUACAAGUGAUUUAUCAAAAAUACAAGACUCAAAAUACCGAAUCCUCGUUGUAGAUUAUCUUUGCCAGUCCUCGAUCGCUUGGAAUCCUCCAACCGAUCACACUGCAAGUCCUUGCAGCCGCACACGCCUCGACUCCACGAAACGCUCACCGAAUCCACGGUCUUCACGCGAGAUCCACGCGCUAAUGCUCCAUCCGAAGCUCGUAGGGAUUUAACAAUUUGCGGUGAUUUAAACUCUUUGAAAGCACAUAUAAUAUGAGGAGAAAUCCAAAUCAAAACAUCACCAAUUUGAUCCUUAAAGAAAAUUUGAAUCAAAAAUGAAGAAUCAAAUCAGUGAUCUAAAGCUUGAUAUUUAGAAACAUGGAUCAAAACUCCGAAUCAAGUCGUUAGGGUUUCUAAAAAGGUUAUCUUGCUCAGCUAACGUCAUAUGGAGAUCCUCAUAUCAUAUUUAUAUGUUUAGAAGACUUCUAGAUAGACUAGGAUUCCAAAAACUCAAUUUUAAAAACAGACGACGGUCUCAGGGUCCGGUCCUCCCGAGGAGACCGGUCCUUGGGAGACCGGUCCUCCAAGGUGAGGUCCGGUCUUUCGCUGCGUAGACGUAAACAUAUGCGUACGGGGACCGGUCCUCAAUUCAGAGACCGGUCCUUCCCUGCGCAACAAGGAAAACCAUGUACGGGAAUCGGUCCUCAAGAUCAGAGACCGGUUUCCCAAACCUUCUACGCAGAGAAGCUUGAUGGGUCCGGUCCUUCUGAUCAAGGACCGGUCCCCGACCCCUGAGUUUUUCAGAAAACUUAAGUUUGAAUAAAUCAAAAGAACACCAAGUCUUCUAAACAUCUUUAAACAAUAAAAACUUCACCACAAAUUAUUCAUAAUCAUACCUGAGAUCUCAAGGGUCUUUGAUCACGAAAACUUCAAUUCUUUUCUUCAACCUUCAUCUUCUAAUUCUUCGAGACUCCGUCCAAACCUUCACGAAAUUCGCCAACUUAUAAAAUCCUUAACAUAUCUGUCACGCCCCGGGACCGCCAAUUUGGUCGGUUCGGGCACGUCAACAGAUGCCGAACGGACAGCACCUCCCCUGUCCGCCCAAGGCUCCACCAAUACAUGUAUAACAAUAGCAAUUCAAACAUAAUGAAUGCAAGUAUACACGACUUGCACG